UGGUCUGACAGUAGAGAGUAGUAUAGAAACAGUAUAGUAUAGUAUAGAAACAGGAGCAGAUUAACAGUUCUUGGCUAAUGGAUAAAAUACACACCUCCUUUUCUGAAUAUGAUGAGGUAUACAGUAGACUGAAGGUAACUUCCAGAACCAGGGUCAUUAUGAUGAGGUAGACAGUAGACUGAAGGUAACUUCCAGAACCAGGGUCAUUAUGAUGAGGUAGACAGUAGACUGAAGGUAACUUCCAGAACCAGGGUCAUUAUGAUGAGGUAGACAGUAGACUGAAGGUAACUUCCAGAACCAGGGUCAUUAUGAUGAGGUAGACAGUAGACUGAAGGUAACUUCCAGAACCAGGGUCAUUAUGAUGAGGUAGACAGUAGACUGAAGGUAACUUCCAGAACCAGGGUCAUUAUGAUGAGGUAGACAGUAGACUGAAGGUAACUUCCAGAACCAGGGUCAUUAUGAUGAGGUAGACAGUAGACUGAAGGUAACUUCCAGAACCAGGGUCAUUAUGAUGAGGUAGACAGUAGACUGAAGGUAACUUCCAGAACCAGGGUCAUUAUGAUGAGGUAGACAGUAGACUGAAGGUAACUUCCAGAACCAGGGUCAUUAUGAUGAGGUAGACAGUAGACUGAAGGUAACUUCCAGAACCAGGGUCAUUAUGAUGAGGUAGACAGUAGACUGAAGGUAACUUCCAGAACCAGGGUCAUUAUGAUGAGGUAGACAGUAGACUGAAGGUAACUUCCAGAACCAGGGUCAUUAUGAUGAGGUAGACAGUAGACUGAAGGUAACUUCCAGAACCAGGGUCAUUAUGAUGAGGUAGACAGUAGACUGAAGGUAACUUCCAGAACCAGGGUCAUUAUGAUGAGGUAGACAGUAGACUGAAGGUAACUUCCAGAACCAGGGUCAUUAUGAUGAGGUAGACAGUAGACUGAAGGUAACUUCCAGAACCAGGGUCAUUAUGAUGAGGUAGACAGUAGACUGAAGGUAACUUCCAGAACCAGGGUCAUUAUGAUGAGGUAGACAGUAGACUGAAGGUAACUUCCAGAACCAGGGUCAUUAUGAUGAGGUAGACAGUAGACUGAAGGUAACUUCCAGAACCAGGGUCAUUAUGAUGAGGUAGACAGUAGACUGAAGGUAACUUCCAGAACCAGGGUCAUUAUGAUGAGGUAGACAGUAGACUGAAGGUAACUUCCAGAACCAGGGUCAUUAUGAUGAGGUAGACAGUAGACUGAAGGUAACUUCCAGAACCAGGGUCAUUAUGAUGAGGUAGACAGUAGACUGAAGGUAACUUCCAGAACCAGGGUCAUUAUGAUGAGGUAGACAGUAGACUGAAGGUAACUUCCAGAACCAGGGUCAUUAUGAUGAGGUAGACAGUAGACUGAAGGUAACUUCCAGAACCAGGGUCAUUAUGAUGAGGUAGACAGUAGACUGAAGGUAACUUCCAGAACCAGGGUCAUUAUGAUGAGGUAGACAGUAGACUGAAGGUAACUUCCAGAACCAGGGUCAUUAUGAUGAGGUAGACAGUAGACUGAAGGUAA